rnacentral:rRNA from 1 species
UACGAAGGGUGCAAACGUUGCUCGGAAUUAUUGGGCGUAAAGCGCACGUAGGCGGCUUUGCAAGUCGGAUGUGAAAGCCCUCGGCUCAACUGAGGAAGUGCAUCCGAAACUGAGUGGCUAGAGUAUGGAAGAGGGUCGCGGAAUUCCCGGUGUAGAGGUGAAAUUCGUAGAUAUCGGGAGGAACACCGGUGGCGAAGGCGGCGACCUGGGUAGAUACUGACGCUGAGGUGCGAAAGCGUGGGGAGCAAACAGG